rnacentral:rRNA from 1 species
CAAUAGCGUAUAUUAAAGUUGUUGCGGUUAAAAAGCUCGUAGUUGGAUUUCUGUGGAGGACGUCCGGUCCGCACUUUGUGCGUGUAUCUGGUUCGGCCUCUGCAUCCUCCAGGGGAACGGCGCUGCGCUUCAUUGCGUGGUCCGGUAUUCUGGACUUUUACUUUGAGGAAAUUAGAGUGUUUACGGCAGGCAAUCGCCUUGAAUACAUUAGCAUGGAAUAAUAAUAUAGGACCUUGGUUCUAUUUUGUUGGUUUCUAGAACUAAGGUAAUGAUUAAUAGGGAUAAUUGGGGGCGAUUUGUAUUAACACGUCAGAGGUGAAAUUCUUGGAUUGUGUUACGACAAACUACUGCGAAAGCAUUUGCCAAGGAUGUUUUCAUUGAUCAAGAACGAAAGUGCGGGGAUCGAAGAUGAUCAGAUACCAU